GCAAAUGAUUAAUUAGGUGGGCUAGAAGAAAUAAUAACUUUGUAGAAUUUUGUUAAGUAGUUUUUAAAUAGGAAUCAAUUGUAUGUUUGCAAGGACACUGCACAGAUAGGAGUAGGGCUAUGUAGAAUAGAUAAUAGUUCAUUUCUGUAAGAUAUUGAUAAAAUAGACUAAUAAUCUAUAGAAUAGUCAAUUCAAGAGGACGGAUGAUUGAUUUAGUUAUUAACAGUGGUUAAUUACAAGAUUACGGUUAGAAUCUGGAAAUCAAGAGCAAGUAUAUAGGAAUUGUAGAAGUUUUUUGAGGUGCGAGAUUGGGAUAGUCAUGAGCCAGGGUAAGCUUAGUACUACCUCUUUGUUUCUUUGUUUUUUUUGUUGUUGAAAAGUAACGGAUAGUUUCUGAAUAGUGAGAAGUGAGUCUGUGGAAUAAAUCAAAGAUUGAUUUAUGAGUUAUUGAUUAUGUAAUUGGAGCACUGAGUGAUUGAAUUAUAUGAAG
rnacentral:lncRNA from 1 species